rnacentral:rRNA from 1 species
AUUGAACGCUGGCGGCAUGCUUUACACAUGCAAGUCGAACGGUAACAGGCCUUCGGGCGCUGACGAGUGGCGAACGGGUGAGUAAUGCAUCGGAACGUGCCCAGUCGUGGGGGAUAACUAUCCGAAAGGAUAGCUAAUACCGCAUACGAUAUGCGGAUGAAAGCGGGGGACCUUCGGGCCUCGCGCGAUUGGAGCGGCAGAUGUCAGAUUAGGUAGUUGGUGGGGUAAAGGCUCACCAAGCCAACGAUCUGUAGCUGGUCUGAGAGGACGACCAGCCACACUGGGACUGAGACACGGCCCAGACUCCUACGGGAGGCAGCAGUGGGGAAUUUUGGACAAUGGGCGCAAGCCUGAUCCAGCAAUGCCGCGUGCAGGAAGAAGGCCUUCGGGUUGUAAACUGCUUUUGUACGGAACGAAACGGCUCUGGUUAAUACCCGGGGCUAAUGACGGUACCGUAAGAAUAAGCACCGGCUAACUACGUGCCAGCCGCCGCCGUAA